rnacentral:rRNA from 1 species
UACGGAGGAUGCAAGCGUUAUCCGGAAUGAUUGGGCGUAAAGCGUCCGCAGGUGGCUGUGUAAGUCUGCUGUCAAAGAGCAAAGCUCAACUUUGUAAAGGCAGUGGAAACUACACGGCUAGAGUGCGUUCGGGGCAGAGGGAAUUCCUGGUGUAGCGGUGAAAUGCGUAGAGAUCGGGAAGAACACCGGUGGCGAAGGCGCUCUGCUAGGCCGCAACUGACACUGAGGGACGAAAGCUAGGGGAGCGAAUGGG